AUUGAACGCUGGCGGCAGGCCUAACACAUGCAAGUCGAACGAGUGGCGGACGGGUGAGUAAUGUCUGGGAAACUGCCUGAUGGAGGGGGAUAACUACUGGAAACGGUAGCUAAUACCGCAUACCAUCGGAUGUUCCCCGAUGGGAUUAGCUAGUGGGUGGGGUAAAGGCUCACCUAGGCGCCGAUGCCUAGCUGGUCUGAGAGGAUGACCAGCCAAACUGGAAUGGAGACACGGGCCAGACUCCUACGGGAGGCAGCAGUGGGGAAUAUUGCACAAUGGGCGCAAGCCUGAUGCAGCCAGGCCGCGUGUAUGAAGAAGGCCUUCGGGUUGUAAAGUACUUGCAGCGGGGAGGCGUUACCCGCAGAAGAAGCACCGGCUAACUCCGUGCCAGCAGCCGCGGUAAUUA
rnacentral:rRNA from 1 species